AACGAACGCUGGCGGCAGGCUUAACACAUGCAAGUCGAACGUUCGUAGCAAUACGGGAGUGGCGGACGGGUGAGUAACGCGUGGGAACGUGCCCUGAGGUACGGAAUAACUGAGGGAAACUUCAGCUAAUACCGUAUGAGCCCCGAGAGGGGGAAAGAUUUAUCGCCUUGGGAGCGGCCCGCGUCGGAUUAGCUAGUUGGUGGGGUAACGGCCUACCAAGGCUUCGAUCCGUAGCUGGUCUGAGAGGACGAUCAGCCACACUGGGACUGAGACACGGCCCAGACUCCUACGGGAGGCAGCAGUGGGGAAUCUUGCGCAAUGGGGGCAACCCUGACGCAGCCAUGCCGCGUGAACGAUGAAGGCCUUAGGGUUGUAAAGUUCUUUUACCCGUGACGAUGAUGACGGUAACGGGGGAAUAAGCUCCGGCUAACUUCGUGCCAGCAGCCGGGUAAUGUCGAUAUCG
rnacentral:rRNA from 1 species